rnacentral:rRNA from 1 species
UACGAAGGGGGCUAGCGUUGCUCGGAAUCACUGGGCGUAAAGCGCACGUAGGCGGGUCUUUAAGUCAGGGGUGAAAUCCAGGAGCUCAACUCCAGAACUGCCUUCGAUACUGACGAUCUCGAGUCCGGGAGAGGUGAGUGGAACUCCGAGUGUAGAGGUGAAAUUCGUAGAUAUUCGGAAGAACACCAGUGGCGAAGGCGGCUCACUGGCCCGGUACUGACGCUGAGGUGCGAAAGCGUGGGGAGCAAACAGG